rnacentral:rRNA from 1 species
AACGAACGCUGGCGGCAUGCCUAACACAUGCAAGUCGAACGAAGCCUUCGGGCUUAGUGGCGCACGGGUGCAUAACGCGUGGGAAUCUGCCCCUUGCUUCGGAAUAACAGUUAGAAAUGACUGCUAAUACCGGAUGAUGUCUUCGGACCAAAGAUUUAUCGGCAAGGGAUGAGCCCGCGUAGGAUUAGGUAGUUGGUGGGGUAAAGGCCUACCAAGCCGACGAUCCUUAGCUGGUCUGAGAGGAUGAUCAGCCACACUGGGACUGAGACACGGCCCAGACUCCUACGGGAGGCAGCAGUGGGGAAUAUUGGACAAUGGGGGGAACCCUGAUCCAGCAAUGCCGCGUGAGUGAUGAAGGCCUUAGGGUUGUAAAGCUCUUUUACCAGGGAUGAUAAUGACAGUACCUGGAGAAUAAGCUCCGGCUAACUUCGUGCCAGCCGCCGCGGUAACAC